UACGAAGGGGGCUAGCGUUGUUCGGAAUUACUGGGCGUAAAGCGCGCGCAGGCGGUCCUUCAAGUCAGAGGUGAAAGCCCAGAGCUCAACUCUGGAAUUGCCUUUGAAACUGCAGGACUGGGUACGGGAGAGGUGAGUGGAAUUCCGAGUGUAGAGGUGAAAUUCGUAGAUAUUCGGAAGAACACCAGUGGCGAAGGCGGCUCACUGGCCCGUUACCGACGCUCAGGCGCGACAGCGUGGGGAGCAAACAGG
rnacentral:rRNA from 1 species